rnacentral:miRNA from 1 species
UGUGAUAUUGGUCCGGCUCAUC